rnacentral:rRNA from 1 species
AUUGAACGCUGGCGGCAUGCCUUACACAUGCAAGUCGAACGGUAACAGGUCUCCGGAUGCUGACGAGUGGCGAAUGGGUGAGUAAUACAUCGGAACGUGCCUAGUAGUGGGGGAUAACUACUCGAAAGAGUGGCUAAUACCGCAUGAGAUCUACGGAUGAAAGCAGGGGAUCGCAAGACCUUGUGCUACUAGAGCGGCCGAUGGCAGAUUAGGUAGUUGGUGGGAUAAAAGCUUACCAAGCCGACGAUCUGUAGCUGGUCUGAGAGGACGAUCAGCCACACUGGGACUGAGACACGGCCCAGACUCCUACGGGAGGCAGCAGUGGGGAAUUUUGGACAAUGGGCGAAAGCCUGAUCCAGCAAUGCCGCGUGCAGGAUGAAGGCCUUCGGGUUGUAAACUGCUUUUGUCCGGAACGAAAAGCCCCGGGUUAAUACCCUGGGGUCAUGACGGUACCGUAAGAAUAAGCACCGGCUAACUACGUGCCAGCCGCCGCAGUAA